rnacentral:rRNA from 1 species
UGGGGAAUCUUGCGCAAUGGGCGAAAGCCUGACGCAGCCAUGCCGCGUGAAUGAUGAAGGUCUUAGGAUUGUAAAAUUCUUUCACCGGGGACGAUAAUGACGGUACCCGGAGAAGAAGCCCCGGCUAACUUCGUGCCAGCAGCCGCGGUAAUACGAAGGGGGCUAGCGUUGCUCGGAAUUACUGGGCGUAAAGGGAGCGUAGGCGGACAUUUAAGUCAGGGGUGAAAUCCCGGGGCUCAACCUCGGAAUUGCCUUUGAUACUGGGUGUCUUGAGUGUGAGAGAGGUAUGUGGAACUCCGAGUGUAGAGGUGAAAUUCGUAGAUAUUCGGAAGAACACCAGUGGCGAAGGCGACAUACUGGCUCAUUACUGACGCUGAGGCUCGAAAGCGUGGGGAGCAAACAGGAUUAGAUACCCUGGUAGUCCACGCCGUAAAACGAUGAUUGCUAGUUGUCGGGAUGCAUGCAUUUCGGUGACGCAGCUAACGCAUUAAGCAAUCCGCCUGGGGAGUACGGUCGCAAGAUU